rnacentral:tmRNA from 1 species
UGCAAAUGACAACACUGCUCCGGUCGCAAUCGCAGCCUAACGGCAGCGUGAGUAACCGAUCUUAAGUCCAGUCCGAUUGAGCUCGGGCUGGCGGGGUUCGGAACGCACCUGGCAACAGAAGCGUUCCACU